rnacentral:rRNA from 1 species
GUGUCAGCAGCCGCGGUAAUACGUAGGGACCUAGCGUUGUCCGGAAUCAUUGGGCGUAAAGCGCGCGUAGGCGGCCCGGUAAGUCCGUUGUAAAAGUCGAAGGCUCAACCUUCGAAAGCCGAUGGAUACUGCCGGGCUAGAGUCCGGAAGAGGCGAGUAGAAUUCCUGGUGUAGCGGUGGAAUGCGCAGAUAUCAGGAGGAAUACCCAUAGCGAAGGCAGCUCGCUGGGACGGUACUGACGCUGAGGCGCGAAAGCGUGGGGAGCGAACAGGAUUAGAUACCCCUGUAGUCC